UACGUAGGGUCCGAGCGUUGUCCGGAAUUACUGGGCGUAAAGAGCUCGUAGGUGGUUUGUCGCGUUGUUCGUGAAAACUCACAGCUCAACUGUGGGCGUGCGGCGAUACGGGCAGACUUGAGUACUGCAGGGGAGACUGGAAUUCCUGUGUAGCGGUGGAAUGCGCAGAUAUCAGGAGGAACACCGGUGGCGAAGGCGGGUCUCUGGGCAGUAACUGACGCUGAGGAGCGAAAGCGUGGGGAGCGAACAGG
rnacentral:rRNA from 1 species